UAUUCUAGCCUUCUCCUCCUCCCAGCUGCAUCUCCACACAUCAUUCUCCACCUCUAAGCCGAAGAAACCGAGGGAGGAGGCUCUCAACUUCUCCGUCGCCCUCAUCCUUGCUGCCGGCCGCGAAGAAGACGACUAUCGUACUUGUAAAUAAGCCAGGCGGAUCGACGGGAACGCCGUCGUGCCCACGGCACUCCGGAGCGCGCUCCAAGCGCCGCCGCAGCCGACAUCGUCGUCGUUCCGACCAUUGUAGACCAAACAAAGCCGAGCCGUCGCGCCAACGUCUUCUCCUUGAAGUCUUCCUCAAAAACCCUCAAAAAUCCUAGGCAAUGGCGCAGCAAGUGCGGAGAUCGGCUACCGUCUUCUUCACCUCCGGUCGCCGUCGCCAUUGUCGAUUCCGCCUCCUCCGGUGAGCCAUUGUCCGAUUCUUCGCGUAUACACCAUCCCUGGGACCUCACUAACCCCAUGAAAACACAUGGAUGUCAAUUCGAUGAGUGGAUCGAGCCGUUGCCGUCUCCCCGGAGCUCUACACCGUCGCCGGACCAUCUUCUUCACCGCUGCCGCUGUCCAGACUUUCCCGCGCCUCGUUCAAGGUUUUAGACUUAGUCUUUGAGUGAUGCGGGUAAUCGACUGCUUCUUCUAGGACUUGAAUUUAAUGGGGUAAAUCCCUAGUCGGUGUGCUUGUGGAUUGGGUAGACAAGCUUCCGCUGUUCUAUAUAUUUAUUUGGCCAGUCGGCCAAUGUAACUAAAGUAGAUGUAGUUUAUAAUCGCUUUCAUCUUAUUUGUGUUUGCUAUGUAUAAUCAUGCUUGAGAUGAAAGUGUGAAUCUAGUGCACAUCCUGGGAA